UACGUAGGUGGCAAGCGUUGUCUGGAAUUACUGGGUGUAAAGGGAGCGCAGGCGGGAAGCCAAGUCAGCUGUGAAAACUACGGGCUUAACUUGUAGACUGCAGUUGAAACUGGUUUUCUUGAGUGAAGUAGAGGUUGGCGGAAUUCCGAGUGUAGCGGUGAAAUGCGUAGAUAUUCGGAGGAACACCGGUGGCGAAGGCGGCCAACUGGGCUUUAACUGACGCUGAGGCUCGAAAGUGUGGGGAGCAAACAGG
rnacentral:rRNA from 1 species